UACGGAGGAUCCAAGCGUUAUCCGGAAUCAUUGGGUUUAAAGGGUCCGUAGGUGGAUGAUUAAGUCAGAGGUGAAAUCCUGCAGCUCAGCUGUAGAAUUGCCUUUGAUACUGGUUGUCUUGAGUCAUUAUGAAGUGGUUAGAAUAUGUAGUGUAGCGGUGAAAUGCAUAGAUAUCACAUAGAAUACCAAUUGCGAAGGCAGAUCACUAAUAAUGUACUGACACUGAUGGACGAAAGCGUAGGUAGCGAACAGG
rnacentral:misc_RNA from 1 species